UAGAAGACAAUGCGUGUGAUA
rnacentral:misc_RNA from 1 species